rnacentral:rRNA from 1 species
AUUGAACGCUGGCGGCAUGCCUUACACAUGCAAGUCGAACGGUAACAGGUCUUCGGAUGCUGACGAGUGGCGAACGGGUGAGUAAUACAUCGGAACGUGCCCGAUCGUGGGGGAUAACGAAGCGAAAGCUUUGCUAAUACCGCAUAAGAUCUACGGAUGAAAGCAGGGGACCGCAAGGCCCUGCGCGAACGGAGCGGCCGAUGGCAGAUUAGGUAGUUGGUGGGAUAAAAGCUUACCAAGCCGACGAUCUGUAGCUGGUCUGAGAGGACGACCAGCCACACUGGGACUGAGACACGGCCCAGACUCCUACGGGAGGCAGCAGUGGGGAAUUUUGGACAAUGGACGCAAGUCUGAUCCAGCCAUUCCGCGUGCAGGAUGAAGGCCCUCGGGUUGUAAACUGCUUUUGUACGGAACGAAAAGGUCUCUCUUAAUACGGGGGGCUCAUGACGGUACCGUAAGAAUAAGCACCGGCUAACUACGUGCCAGCCGCCGCCGUAA